rnacentral:rRNA from 1 species
AUGGCAGGGUUUAGGGAAGCAGUGGACCUUUGCGGGCUAUGUGAUCUUGGCUAUAUUGGAGUGGACUGGACGUUCGAGAAAAAAGUGGCGGGUGGCCAGUUCUGUAGAGUCAGAUUGGACAGGGCACUAGCGACGGCCAGUUGGAGUUCUAUGUUCCCAUUUGCUUCUGUUCGGCACCUCACAGCUGCGAAGUCUGAUCACUCGCCCAUCAUUUUGUUCAAUGAUUUGGAGGCAGCGAAUAGACGAAUUGCACUUGAUAGACCCUUCAGGUAUGAGCAGAUGUGGGAAGCACACGAUGAAUAUUUCCCUAUGAUUGAGCGAGUCUGGGAGUCGCUGGGGAAGGCCAAAUCUCUUUAG